GCGGUUGUAGUAUAGCUUGGUUAUUAUGCGGGAUUGCCAAUUCUGCGACCCGGGUCCAAAUCCCGGCAACCGCA
rfam:Candidatus Nitrosotalea devanaterra genome assembly, chromosome: 1